rnacentral:rRNA from 1 species
AAAGGAAUUGACGGGGGCCCGCACAAGCGGUGGAGCAUGUGGUUUAAUUCGACGCAACGCGAAGAACCUUACCAAGGCUUGACAUGGAAGCGACAGGCAUAGAGAUAUGCCAUCCCCUUUGGGGCGCUUCACACAGGUGGUGCAUGGUUGUCGUCAGCUCGUGUCGUGAGAUGUUGGGUUAAGUCCCGCAACGAGCGCAACCCUUAUGUUUAGUAGCCAACAGGUAAAGCUGGGCACACUAGAGAGACUGCCGUGGAGAACACGGAGGAAGGUGGGGACGACGUCAAAUCAUCAUGCCCCUUAUGUCUUGGGCUACACACGUGCUACAAUGGGUGCUACAAAGUGAAGCAAGAGCGUGAGCUGGAGCAAAACACAAAAAGCAUCCUCAGUUCGGAUUGCAGUCUGCAACUCGAGUGCAUGAAGUUGGAAUCGCUAGUAAUCGCGAAUCAGCAUGUCGCGGUGAAUACGUUCCCGGGCCUUGUACACACCGCCCGU